AAGUGCGUUCAGGCUCGUUGGCAGGCUCGCCUCGCUCGAAUUUAUGGACCUAGUGCCGUUGCCGAGUGCUUGGUGUGGUUGUUGGCCGACGAUGUCCUCGGACUGGCUCUUUAUAUUCGAACGGAUAUACCGGUCGGCGACGCUACUGCUUUGGGUACUUUCAGGACCCGUCUUGAAACACGGACCAAGGAGUCUAACAUGUGCGCGAGUCAUUGGGUAUUAUUAAAACCUAAAGGCGUAAUGAAAGUGAAGGUCGUCCUUAGCGUCGACCGAGGGAGGAUGGCUCGCGUCACGAUGCGAGCCCGCACUCCCGGGGCGUCUCGUGCUCAUUGCGAGCUGAGGCGCACCCAGAGCGUACACGUUGGGACCCGAAAGAUG
rnacentral:rRNA from 1 species